rnacentral:rRNA from 1 species
GAGUUUGAUCAUGGCUCAGAGUGAACGCUGGCGGCAGGCCUAACACAUGCAAGUCGAGCGCGUGUAGCAAUACACGAGCGGCGCACGGGUGAGUAACGCGUGGAUAUCUGCCUUUUGGUUCGGAAUAACCCCGGGAAACUGGGGCUAAUACCGAAUGGUUCCUACGGGAUAAAGAUUUAUCGCCAAAAGAUGAGUCCGCGUCCGAUUAGCUAGUUGGUGAGGUAACGGCUCACCAAGGCGACGAUCGGUAGCUGGUCUGAGAGGACGAUCAGCCACACUGGGACUGAGACACGGCCCAGACUCCUACGGGAGGCAGCAGUGGGGAAUAUUGGACAAUGGGGGCAACCCUGAUCCAGCCAUGCCGCGUGAGUGAUGAAGGCCUUCGGGUUGUAAAGC